ACGGAAGGCAGCAGUGGGGGAUAUUGCACAAUGGAGGAAACUCUGAUGCAGCAACGCCGCGUGAGGGAAGAAGGUCUUCGGGUUGUAAACCUAAGUUAUCAGGGACGAAACAAAUGACGGUACCUGAAGAGAAAGCUCCGGCUAACUACGUGCCAGCAGCCGCGGUAAUACGUAGGGAGCGAGCGUUGUCCGGAUUUACUGGGUGUAAAGGGUGCGUAGGCGGGCUUGCAAGUCAGGCGUGAAAUCCCGCGGCUUAACUGCGGGGCUGCGCUUGAAACUGUAGGUCUUGAGUGAGGUAGAGGCAAGCGGAAUUCCCAGUGUAGCGGUGAAAUGCGUAGAUAUUGGGAGGAACACCAGUGGCGAAGGCGGCCUGCUGGGCCUUAACUGACGCUGAGGCACGAAAGUAUGGGGAGCAAACAGGAUUAGAUACCCUGGUA
rnacentral:rRNA from 1 species